UAUAUGUUUUUUAAUUGGUUAGUCAUGCAACAUUAUUUAUAGCAGUUAUCCUGUUGAGGUUUUGCAUUAUUGGCCAGGUAAUGUGCGCUGUAGGCUAUUAGCUUCGGGAUAGUGACGAGCUAGCUAACAGCCGUCACGAUCGAGUCACGCUUCAUUUAAACUUUUAGCUAGCUUAAGGGCCAUUAGUCACAUAAGUAUGAAUUUUUAUUUAGAAGUGAAACACUAAUUAAACACUUACUUUAAAAGUCCUAAAUUGAAGAUUGUCAGCUAAGAUUUGACUUAAUAAGAAUACUUAACUGUCAACAUUGUCAGCCAAUAACAUUGUACAGUGAAAAUCAGUUUAGUGGCUGUAAAUGGCAGCAAAAUUUAACAUGUUAAAAUGUACAGACUAAACUAAUGAAAAAGCAGGGGGAAACAAUACAAAAAACUGUAAAAACAGCACAAAAAUUGACAGUAAAAUACAGUAUUUGAUUAUGUAAGCCACAUAGUUUUGUUUCUAGGCAUUAAAUUCUGUCUUGCUACUAUUUCUUACUAAUAGAAAAUGAGUCUACACUUAAGACUGCUGAGAAGAAACUCUUGCAAGAGGACCUACCAAAAAGCAAGAAGAGAAAGAGGGAACCCAACAAACUUUACCUUGACACACAGGAGGUAGAACAAGUUGCAAAAAAGAAAUUCCAUCAAUCUUAGCAGCUGUGAGGACCCUCAUUUCAGACGAGAUCACAGAGAGCUCAAGCAAUGGAGAUGAAACCGAAUAUGACGCCAGUGUUGCUCUACCAUCAACUCGUCAACCCACAUCUCCCAAACCAACAUCAGGAAUGAUGACUCCACCAGAGUGUCUGCCCAUUGUUGUGAGACUGCAAAAGCACAACCUACAGCGAAAGAAAUGGCCUGCACCCUCCUGCUGGGCCUGUUCAGCAUUGAUAUCCUACUGAAGUCCAACCUGACAGGAGGGGUCAACAAGGUCGAUCCAUCUGCAGAGAGACACCAGCAACUGAAGGACUGAGUGGGUCUUGAUAAGUUAGCAUGCGGGAUCCAUAACACUGCACUAAAGGAUUGUCCUGUUUUUGUUGCACUGAAGACUGUUUUAUUUUAUUACAAUGAAGAACAGUUGUCCUUUAGGAAAUGUUUUAUUAAUUCUUUUAAGUAUUUAUGUUCAUUUAUAGUUAUUGUCAUCUAUUGGAUCACAUAAAAAUAUCACAUGUUUAAAAGAAGAAGAAAAAAGAUUUUAUAGCCUUGAACUAAUUAUGAUAUGGCAUAUAUGGCACAUCCCUACCAGCAAACCAGCCGUUUGCUGAGCACAUUAUGUACAUUAUGUGCACAUAAGAUUCAGAUGGAACCAUGGUGACAUGCCUUUCAUUCUGUUUGUUCUCAGGUCACUGUCCCUUCAGCUGCUUCUUUUGAAAUAAACCUCAUUCAGUUACUGUGAACUAUA